rnacentral:misc_RNA from 1 species
UUCAACCCUCAAGCAUUGCUUGGUGUUGGGCAAGGUCCUUAGUAGGGACCUGCUCGCAACUUGUAGGCGGUCAUCGCCCCGUGCCCCCAGCGUAGCAGGCUCACGCACUCGCUCGGGGACAGGCGAGGGGUCGCCCGGCAAACCAAACUCAAG